GCCACAUCUUGCCCUUAACUUACUUCUUCAGAUUCAUCUUGAGGAUUCAAUUAUGUCAAUCCAAUAUGGUCCUUAUAAGCAAGAAACAAAGGAAACUGGACAUGGAAGGAGAAAGCCACGGGCAAAAGGCAGGAGUCAGUGGAACCUGGAGGAGAAAGGAGAAGAUGCUGCCAUGUGCAUUACCAUGUGAAACAAAAGGAAAGGACCAAAGAUCGCAGGCAGCCAGCUGCAGAAUGCCACAGCCUUUGGGGAGAAAGCAUCCUCUUGCUUAUGCCUCAAUUUGGAUUUCUCCUAGCCUCAAAACUAGCCCUCACUCUGGAGGAAGAAAGCAACCAAGAGAGUAAUCCUAUGGAGGAGCCCGUGCAGCAAGAACUAAAGUUGCUGGCUGACAGUAAUCAAGGACCAAUGACUGCAGCCCCUUGUUGACCCUUUGAUAGAAGUUUUAUGAGAGGCCUGAAAUAGUCACCUGGGGAAAUAAUUAUUCUUCUAUAUGGACUUCUUAACCUUUUUCACUAGAAACUUAAAGUCAUUGUAACCUUGAAGUCACUAAUGCCUAUCAGAUACAGAUAUUGUUUAAUUUGGGGGAUAUGUUUUAUGUAUAUCACUAUUAAAUUUCCUUUCCAAUUUAUAGAACAUCAAUAUAAUUAGGGAUGUUUUUCACCAGACAUCUCUCUGAAGGGCAUUCAAAAACCCUAGCUAGUCAGGAAUAUAUCUUUAUAUGAGUACAUUACAAAUGAAGCUAGGAUAUUUUGCUUUUAUACAAGCCUUAUUAAAAAUGAAUACUCAUUUAAGAGCUCGGUAAAUACAACAUUUUCCCUGAAAUAAAAUAAACAUGUUUUACUGCAUGUGAUAAGGACAUAGAAGCAAUAAAUAGAUCAUUUCAUUUCAUAUUUAAUAUUUUAAAUGUUAAAUAUGUGUGCAAUCUUAACAGUGGUAGAAAGCAAUACAGCUCAAUGAUUCCCCAAAUAGAAAAUCUUGCUACAGACAGUCUGUGCAAACAGGCAUGUGGCUAAAAUGUCAUGAAACCUACUCAUCCUCACAAAAACAUGUCCCAGUGGGAAAUGGAAAAAUAAAAAGGACAAGUAGGGAAUCUGACCAUUUUUAAUCCCCCAAAUCUUCAUGGUUUCCCUCAUUCCUACAUCCAUUCAAAAUAAUAUUGUAACCUAACAAACAUAACUGCUACAGCCAAGGACACAGGUUCUCCUUUACCCCCAACAUAGUUGGAGGGCUUUCUUCCCUGAAGGAGCAGCAUGUCAAUGUUUCUCAUCCUGACCCACCUCCCUGUUGCUGAGGCUAAGUCCUGGGUGAGUGCAGUUAAAUGAUGAGGGCUACCUUCUUCCCAACUACAACUCAUGGAAUGGAAGUUCUACCGUGGGUGUGGCAUGCUGGUACCCCAAAAGCCCUUGCCCUGACUUGUUAGAUUGGUGGAUCCAUGCCAAGAGAGUCAAGCCAAGAGAACCUCAACUGCUGCCUACCCCCUACCAAGAGCAUAGGUGUCAAUCAGAGAAGCUUUCUAUUGACCUCACCCCCAGUUCCAGAGCCAUGGCUCAGUGAUUUUGCUGGGGGGAGAAGCAGGCCUAAAAAAAAUAGCUCCUAAUC